ensembl:lncRNA
CAACUGCAAUCAGUUGCCUCACAGAGGGUUUCCUUGAUGCUGAAUUUGCUGUUUGCAAAUGCCCAGAAAUCUGCUGCUGAAAGGAGGAACAUUAUCCCUUUGCUGUAUGGCUCAAGAAGUUCUUACAAGAAGGUCUGUGUAUUUGCCUCUGGCUGUCGAUAAAUACAGUGCUACUUCAGGCAGUGCAGUAGCCUGAGCACAGCCCUGUGCAUUAAGAGGAACAUUUGCCUUAGUAUUUGGAAAUAAGUCAAAUCAUCUGCUAUCUGCAUUUCUUACAAAUACCACAGAUUCCUUACAUUUGUGCCUCCACCAUUCCAAGCUGUUGCUUUGACUUGCUAAUAGGUCCCUGUUGUAAAAAAAAAACCCCAUGGGUGUUUUUUUUUGUUGUUUUGUGUUUGUUUUUUUUUUUAAUGAAGCUAACACUCAGAUGUUACUUUGUGCCCAGAGAGACAGCAAGGACAUGGAGUCUGCUGGAUUCCAGGAGAAAAGGUCUGCAGGGCUCCUGGAGGGAAAAUUACCAGGCAGGUAUUUAUGAGAAAAGGUGAUCUGGUUGAAUUCAAGACUGCAUUACAAACUAUAUGCUUAUCUGGUGUCAGUUGUCAGUUUCAUUGAAUUAACUGGAGCAAUGCUGAUUUAUAACUGAGACUUUAGACAAUUCUACAUAAACAGCUCUAAUGAUGCCCCUUUCAAGGCACCAAGAGUCUGUACCAAGAAAUAAAUCUUGAAGAGCUGUAAGUCCUUGCCAACUGACUUCCAAACUCUGUUCUUCUUUGUCACUGUAGAGAAUGUAUGGAGCUUUCCUGAUCCAGAUUCAGCCAAAUCACUUUCCAUUGUUCUCAGCUUUACUGAUGCACCUCCUCCAGCCUGUGCUGAGUCACUGAUCACAAUUAAAAACCAGCUGCAAUCAUAAAGAGAUGGAUAUUCCCACAAGCAACUGCAUCAGGAACCCCAUGGAAAAGGUCCUCAAAACAACAUCCUGUGAUCUCAGGGGCAAGCAAACAGAAGUCUCAGUCCAAUUCUUGAACGUCAACUCUGCCCCUUGUUCCCGGAUCAUUGAGAGCUGCUGGGCUCUUGUUUAUCUCACCUUUGGUCCUGCUCUGUGUUUACAGUUAAGCUGUUCAUUCAAGUGCCAUAUAAGUUUGUUAGGAUUUGCUGAGGGAGCAAAGGUCUUCAAGCAGAAGAUGAGAACAGAGGAAAAACAGCCUCUGGCUACCACGCUUCUCCAGGGCUUGCUUCAGAGAUGUUACUCAAGAUGGGUGGCAGCUAAUAAGUAAGGAAAAAAAAGGAGCGGUAGCGGUAAAUUGGCAAAAUCUGGAGGCCUCCAAGACUCCUCUUUGUGGUUGUUUGUGGUUGUCUUCUCAGUGCCUUUAUGAUGGUGAUGAUGCAUUCAUUGCUGAUUUUCCUUCUAGUAUUUUAUCAGGAAUGGUUUUUAUGGUUGCACUAAAUUCUGAAAUACAGAUGGGGUGACUGCUUCUGCUGCCUCACCCCAGCCCUUCACAUUUACAGUCUUCCAUAUUUGUGUUAUAUCUGUAGUAGAUAAUAUAAACAAAUAAAGUGUCAUGGGGAGAAAGUAUACCUUUUGCU